rnacentral:rRNA from 1 species
GACGAACGCUGGCGGCGUGCCUAAUACAUGCAAGUCGAACGCUGAAGGAGGAGCUUGCUCUUCUGGAUGAGUUGCGAACGGGUGAGUAACGCGUAGGUAACCUGCCUGGUAGCGGGGGAUAACUAUUGGAAACGAUAGCUAAUACCGCAUAAGAGUAGAUGUUGCAUGACAUUUACUUAAAAGGUGCAAUUGCAUCACUACCAGAUGGACCUGCGUUGUAUUAGCGAGUUGGUGGGGUAACGGCUUACCAAGGCGACGAUACAUAGCCGAUCUGAGAGGGCGAUCAGCCACACUGGGACUGAGGCACGGCCCAGCUCACUACGAGAGGCACCCGUACGGAAUCCUCAGCAAUGGACGGAAGUCUGACCGAGCAACGACGCGUGAAUGAAGAAGGUUUUCGGGUCAUAAAGCUCUGUUGUGAGAGAAGAACGAGUGUGAGGGUGGAAAGUUCACACUGUGACGGUAUCUUAGCAGAAAGGGACGGCUAACUACGUG